GAUGAACGCUGGCGGCGUGCUUAACACAUGCAAGUCGAACGAAGCACUUUAACCUGAUUCUUCGGAUGAAGGUUUUUGUGACUGAGUGGCGGACGGGUGAGUAACGCGUGGGUCACCUGCCUCAUACAGGGGGAUAACAGUUAGAAAUGACUGCUAAUACCGCAUAAGACCACAGAGCCGCAUGGCUCGGUGGGAAAAACUCCGGUGGUAUGAGAUGGACCCGCGUCUGAUUAGGUAGUUGGUGGGGUAACGGCCUACCAAGCCAACGAUCAGUAGCCGACCUGAGAGGGUGACCGGCCACAUUGGGACUGAGACACGGCCCAAACUCCUACGGGAGGCAGCAGUGGGGAAUAUUGCACAAUGGGGGAAACCCUGAUGCAGCGACGCCGCGUGAGCGAAGAAGUAUUUCGGUAUGUAAAGCUCUAUCAGCAGGGAAGAAAAUGACGGUACCUGACUAAGAAGCACCGGCUAAAUACGUG
rnacentral:rRNA from 1 species